UUUUGUUCUCAUUAUCAUGUAAUGAAGUUAAGAUCCAUGCAUACCAAGGACGGAUUGAUCCAGGAAUAUUGGAGGAAUAGCCUAAUAUCCAUCGGUCGCAUUCUCUUAUGAUAGAUGGAACAAGAAACUAGCCGAGGAGAAGGCACUCUGAAGACAGGUUGGUGGAUUGCAGUGUGGAGGAGCUAAUGAUUAGCUGGUUGUACUACCAGAACGAAUGCUGGAUUAAUGAUGAAGAACCAAAUAGUCAAUUCCUCAAAGAGAUCAAAUAGGCUGAAUGUUAGAGGGGAAAGGCAAUUGUUAAUGCUCCUGUCAAAGGGAAUGCUGAAGCUUCUAACUACAGGCUCUGUUGUUUUGCAAGCAAUGUUCAACUCUCUUUUAUUCUCAGGGAAGCAAAUGAAAAAAAAUAAAUUAGGUGACCUCUUCCUGGAGCCUAAAGCUACUGAGAUGCAACACAUUCUCUGAGUUGUCAAGGUCUAUCAAAAAGCAUUGAACCUGUGAAGAUGUCUAAACGUUCUGGCUGGAGUGUGAUACUCAACUUCAUUGUCAUAUUUUAACUAAGAUAGGAAAAACAUUACUGACAUUUUAUUACAGACAUCCCGCGGCAACGCGCGGGUCGGACA